CUGACACCUUCUGGGCCCUCCUGUUUCCAAGGGAAUUUGAUCUAGGAAGAUGUGUUUCAGAUUCUCGGAAACUGGAAUAAUGCUUUCACAAACUUUAAGUUUCAUUAUCCUAAAAUGUUAUCGCAGCUCGCCAGGAAAGGAACGCACAAUUAUUUCUCCCUCCAAUGUCGAAGGUUGAGAAUGGCAUUAUUAUAAGCUCCGAGAUCUCUCAAACACUGGACCAUCAUGCACCAACUGAUAUGAGGCCCCCAACACAUACACAGCAGAGGACUUCAGGAUUUGGUUUCAGCCAGAGAAGAUGUACCUAACCCUCAAGAGACUGGAGGCCCCAAAGAGUUUAGAGUUCUGGUUGGGUGUGGGGUGGGUGAUAGGGACAUACUCGUGGAGACAGGGGGGCGGGGAGGAGGUAUGGGAUGUGGAAAAUUAGGAGGGUGGACCAGGUAGGGAAUAAAUCUGCAGUGUAAAUUAAUUAAUUAAUUUAAAAAAACUUUUGUUGGCACUUUAUUUUUUUUUCUUUUCCUCUCCAGAGGCUGAGGCUGGACCACCUGACCAUAACAAAAGCUCCAUGCCUUCGUCCAGACACUUUUCAGGACGGUAAUUUUUAUUCACACGUGAAUCAAAACACCUUGGUUGUUCUUUGAACACAGCACAAAAGAUUUGUUGUCCAUUAGGAUGGCGAAAAAAGAAAAAACUUCCAUUUUAAUUUUCUUUUUGGUAGACAAGGAA
rnacentral:lncRNA from 1 species